rnacentral:tRNA from 1 species
GGGGACAUAGGUUAGUGGUAGACUUCAUGGUUUUCAGCCAUGCUGCGUGAGUUCGAUUCUCACUGUCCCUA